AUGUAAAAGGGAUUCUUUUGUUCUCGAUCUAUACGACUACCCUUUCUCUCUCCUCCAUUCUACCCUCUCUCCCCUCUAUCUUCCUCCACUUAGCGGCGCCCCCUGAUUGAUGCUCGAAAUUUUGUCAAUUUUAAUUCUAGCUAAACCACACCACUCAUUUUCACUUCAUCAUACUACGCCAUUCUCUCUUUCCUUUUUCCCUUUGAAGCGGCAAAAACCCUAACCCUCAAGGCCCCAAUUUGAUAUAAGAACGUUUGAAAUUUCGGUUGUUUUAUCCUUUGUUGUAUUUCAAUCUUAGUCUUCGGUGUCAAAUUUGCUUUAAUUUCAUCAAGAAAGCCUUUAUUAACUUCAUUGCUCCUGAUUUAAAUUCACUAUCUACGAAUUUUGUGCUAUUUUUAAUUAAUUUCUCGGUGAACUGGUGUUAAAGGAACUGUUUUGUGCAUUGUAAAGCAAAUUACAGGUACUGGAUAUGUUUUUUUAUUACCAAUGUUAAUACUUAAUUGAAGAUCUAUGUUUGCAGGUCUGUUUUGGCUCUUCCAUGUCGUCAACAAGCAUAGGGAAAACAUCAAGAUUUUUGAACAGAGCUGGCUUGUUCUUUGGUCAUGGCAUAAGGAGAGCCUGUUACUACUCACAUAGAACCUGUACAGGCUAAUGACACACCUAGGAGACCAAGGAUCCUUCUAGCUGCAAGUGGAAGUGUUGUUGCGAUCAAGUUUGAGGACCUCUGUCAUUGCUUUUCUGAAUGGGCUGAUGUAAAAGCAGUGACAUCUAAAUCUGCAUUGCAUUUUAUUAACAAUGUGACAAUUCCAGAGGAUCUGAUGCUGUACACAGAUGAGGAUGAAUGGUCUAGUUGGAGUAAAAUAGGUGGCAAUGUCCUUCACAUUGAGCUUCGCAGGUGGGCUGACAUCAUGGUUAUUGCCCCUCUUUCAGCAAACACACUUGGCAAGGGGAUCUAGAUCCGGAUAUGUGUAAACAGUGCUAGAGGUGGAUACUAAAGCUCAAGAAGAUGCUUCCUGAAUUGGUCCCAAAUUGCUUUACUUGAGAAAUUGGAGAAGCAGGAGAAAGAAAUGAUAAUACGGUCCAAAGAAUGGUACAAAAUAUUGUUUGGGGGACAAAAUGAUUUAGUUUAAACUUUUAAUUGUUUUAUCUAAGUUUAACAAGUGAUAAAUUAAUUUUGUAACAUUCCUUAUAGAUAACAAUGUACAAACAUUUAA